rnacentral:rRNA from 1 species
UACGUAGGGGGCAAGCGUUGUCCGGAAUCACUGGGCGUAAAGCGCGUGUAGGCGGCUCGAUAAGUCUGCUGUGAAAGUUCAGGGCUCAACCCUGAAAUGCCGGUGGAAACUGUCGGGCUAGAGUCCGGAAGAGGCGAGUGGAAUUCCUGGUGUAGCGGUGAAAUGCGCAGAUAUCAGGAGGAACACCGAUGGCGAAGGCAGCUCGCUGGGACGGUACUGACGCUGAGGCGCGAAAGCGUGGGGAGCAAACAGG